rnacentral:rRNA from 1 species
AGUGAACGCUGGCGGUAGGCCUAACACAUGCAAGUCGAACGGCAGCACAGUAAGAGCUUGCUCUUACGGGUGGCGGGUGGCGGACGGGUGAGGAAUACAUCGGAAUCUACUUUUUCGUGGGGGAUAACGUAGGGAAACUUACGCUAAUACCGCAUACGACCUACGGGUGAAAGCAGGGGAUCUUCGGACUUUGCGCGAUUGAAUGAGCCGAUGUCGGAUUAGCUAGUUGGCGGGGGAAAGGCCCACCAGGGCGACGAUCCGUAGCUGGUCUGAGAGGAUGGACACCCACACUGGAACUGAGACACGGUCCAGACUCCUACGGGAGGCAGCAGUGGGGAAUAUUGGACAAUGGGCGCAAGCCUGAUCCAGCCAUACCGCGUGGGUGAAGAAGGCCUUCGGGUUGUAAAGCCCUUUUGUUGGGAAAGAAAAGCAGCAGGUUAAUACCCCGCUGUUCUGACGGUACCCAAAGAAUAAGCACCGGCUAACUUCGUG